rnacentral:tRNA from 1 species
GGGCUGUAACUCAGUGGCAGAAUGCUUGCCUAGCAUGCAUGAGGCACUGGGUUCAAUCCUCAGCUCCA